UUGCUAUAUAAAGAGCAGGACAGUAUUUUGACCAAGAGCUAGUAUUUGGAUCUUUGAUCAGAGAUCUAGAAGAUCUUGAGACAAGUGGCAUCACACUCCCUGAUGGUAAAACCUACAAAAGGAACUCUGUGCCAUUGCAGGAUGUUAAACCUGGGCCUGAACCAGGGCCGUUCUCGUCACGUGGAGGAGUUCAUCGUGCCUCAUGAUUGCUGUUGUCCCCAGAAAUCUGGGUUCAUAUAAUGAUUCCGAUUUGGGGAUUACUUGUAGUUGCGUGUGUGUGUGUGUUUUCCAGGUAGGAUUGGGACCCGGAGCUCCACCCCCCUCGUCAGUGGUUGCAGCUGGCUGGGCUCUUUAAAAAGCCCAGUUUUGGACCAGCUCUGGCGCUGCAUGCUCGCUGCAUAUGCUGUUAUGUUGUCUUUGGUUUGUACCCUGUGUGAGGAUAUAUUCAAUUGCGAUAGUGUUAAAUAACUUGUGUUCCUUUUGGAAUGUGUAGCAGCAGGAGGGAGCAAUUGUUUGUUUGUGUCAUUUGACUAAUUAUUUGUUUCCUCUUUUGUUCACAGGGAGUGGGGAGUAGAUUUAGAGCCACCCCGGAGUAUACAUCACCCGUAGGUUUACUUCUCUGUCUAGAAACACCAGUUUAGACCUGAGAGGACCACCACCUGUACGUUUGGGUAGAGAUUGUGUUUUCAAUAGGGGGUUAGUACAGGUUAGGGGUGGGGACCUUUUUGUUUAUUUCUUUGUUUUGGUCCGGACAGCCCUCCCCUUUUCCCAGAAAGAUAUUGUUUAUUUAUGUGUAUUUAUUUUAGUAAUUUGUAAAAGCGUUAUACUGUAUUUGGUGUUUGUCCUUUUCUCGCACCGUGACUCCAUACCCCUUUUGCUGGCACCGGUGGGCCGGAGCAGUGGGUUGUCAUGUUCCCCUCCCUUUUGGGAGCUGGAACGUAACAAUUGGGGGCUCGUCCGGGAUCUUGGCACCCCGCUGCUCGGACCACCCUGUGGUUGGUGAUUGGGGUGCGGUGUUGGGGUGAGAGUAAGGUAGUUUUUUUUUGUCUUGCCUGGUAGUUGUUGUUCUGUCCUUUAGUUUGUAGUAUUGGUAGUUGUAGUGUUCGUUGUGCACUGAAUAGUGCAGGGUUGUGGUGUGAGCAUGGCAACUUCUUCGGAUGUGGCAGGCUUUAUUUCGGAGCCCUCGUUGGGUUUACUGUUUAACCUGCGUAAGGUGGAUUUGUUAGCGCUAGCGGACCACUACAAUCUUACAGUUGAAAAACAGGCUCGUAAAGAGAAGUUGGUAAUGGUGAUCAAAAGCUAUUUAUUGAGUGUCUAGGGCAGGAGUUAUGGCUGUGGAGGAUGUGGAAACAGAGGAUGAGAAGGAUGAGGGCCCUGUAGAGAAUCUCUCGCCAGCAAGGCCAAAGGGCAGUGUUUGAGAUGGGGAAGCUCCAGUGCCUCAAACUCUGCCAAAGUAUGCACGGUCGUCUCCCGAGUUCUCAGAGUCUGUAGAGGUUGCUCGGCUAAAGUUGAAAACAGCCCGGCUGGAAGCAGACCAAAAAAACAGGGAAGACAAAAGGAGGUAUGAGAUAGAAAUGAGAAAAAUAGAGGCAGGCAAGGAGGCUCGUAUUCACAUUCAACGAAUGGAGCUUGAUGCAGAGAGAUCUUCUCACCCAGUGGGUAAGACCGGCCAUUUUGAUGUGGGAAGGAAUAUUGCGGUGGUUCCCCCAUUUCGUGAGUCUGAGGUAGACUCUUAUUUCUCUGCCUUUGAGUGGGUAGCUGCUGCUCUGCAGUGGCCCAAAUAUGUCUGGCCUCUACUCUUGCAAUGUAAGCUAACUGGGAAGGCCCAGGAGGUCAUGGCCUCUCUAUAGAAGACAGUUUACAUUAUGAUGUGGUCAAAGCCACCGUGCUGCGUGCCUAUGAGCUAAGCUUAUAGACAACGCUUUAGAAAUUACUAGGAGUUUGCUAGGGACAAAGAGUCGUUGUUUGACCGCUGGUGUGCAGCCAAUAAAACAUCUACUUAUGAGGCUUUGAGAAAUCAGAUUUUGCUGAGGAUAAGAACCACUUACCUGAAAGAAUUGUGAUGCAUCUUAGUGAAAACAAAGAGGCGACGUUGAGUCAGGCAGCCGUCCAGGCCGAUGAAUAUGCCUACAGCGUCCAGUCAGAGCAGGACAUCUGUUUCACCCGCAGCUGGUGCAUCACGCUCUUCAGACCCUCCUACUGUUCCCAGGAAAGAGGACAGGGAAUGUUUUUAUUGCCACCGGAAAGGCCAUUUAAUCACAGAUUGUCUCUUACUCAUGAACAAGAAGUCACCCCCGCUGUCCCGUAAGAGUGUUGGUUUAACUCAGUCUGUUUCUUACCAGCAAGCUACAAGUGCUAGCGAGGCUCUUGCAGGAAAACCAGACCUGGUGUAUGCUCCGUUUGUGUCUGUCGGGAGUGUUUCAUGCACAGGGAGAACUGAAGACCAAAGAGAAAUUAAAAUCCUACGUGACACUGGUGCAGCUCAGUCAGUUAUCCUUGCAGAUGUGUUGCCCUGGUCUGACCAGACAUACUGUGGUUCACACAUCCUUUUGUGUGGCAUUGAAGCCAACCCAAUUUCUGUGCCUUUACACUGGGUUCAUAUGCAUUCUGAUUUAGUUUCAGGUUGGUUCCGUGUUGGGGUGGUGCCUACGCUAGCAGUGGAAGGGGUAGCACUAUUACUAGGAAACAACAUUGCUGGAGGUAAGGUGUCUCCAGUACCAGAAGUAACAGACAGGCCACAACCUAAUGGUUCUGACAUUGUCUUGGUUCAAAAAUACCCUCAAGUGUUCCCUGGAUGUGUUUUAACAAGGGCACAAGCUCGCACGCAGGGGGAUACAGUGAAUUUGUCAACUAUUUUUGAACAGGUUGAAACUGUAGAGGUAGAGCCUAAAGCAGAUAAAUUACCUUAUGUGCAGGCUGUGAAAAGGGGAUGCGGAGUCAAUCCCCAGUUGUGUGAUG
ensembl:lncRNA